rnacentral:rRNA from 1 species
UACUAUACUAAAUGUAAAAAAAAUUACUAGAAUAUUAAUAGCUAUGAUCUUUAAGCUUAAAGAAUUUGGCGGUAGCUCAGUCUGGUUAGAGGAACCUGUUUUUGAAUUGAUACACCACAAAAUAUCUUACUUAUUUUUAUAAAAUUGAUUUGUAUACCGUCAUUAUUAGAUAAUUUAUUUAAAAAUCAUUAUUACUUUUUAUAAAAUUACAAAAAUUAGAUCAAGGUGCAGUUGAUAAAUAAGUUAAAAUGGGUUACAAUAAUAUAAAAUUAAAUGGAAAUAUUCAUGAAAUAGAACUAUUGAAGGAGGAUUUAAUUGUAAUAAAAUUUUAAUAAGGUUAAAAGAUAUAAGCUCUGAGAUAU